UACGUAGGGUGCGAGCGUUGUCCGGAAUUACUGGGCGUAAAGAGCUCGUAGGUGGUUUGUCGCGUUGUUCGUGAAAACUCACAGCUCAACUGUGGGCGUGCGGGCGAUACGGGCAGACUAGAGUACUGCAGGGGAGACUGGAAUUCCUGGUGUAGCGGUGGAAUGCGCAGAUAUCAGGAGGAACACCGGUGGCGAAGGCGGUUCUCUGGGCAUUACCUGACGCUGAGGAGCGAAAGUGUGGGGGAGCGAACAGG
rnacentral:rRNA from 1 species